rnacentral:lncRNA from 1 species
CUGGCACAAGGCCUGCAGCACCUCCCCGGCCGCAGCGACCACCGCCGCCCCCUCUGCGUGGGGCGCGUCCUCGAACAUCCCCGCGGGCUGCGAGCCACAGCCGCUGAUCCUUUCUCCCUCCCCGGCGCACUACCCACAACCACCCGCGACAAAGCGCGCGAAAAUUAGCCAAGCACGGUGCGUCUCUUCAAUCGUCUGCUUCCGCUUUUCUCCUUUUAAAAAAAAGUCCGUUUCUUCUCCAAAGCAGCUAGUCGGCCCUCUUCGGAAAUGUGAUAAGGAAACGAACCGUAGACCCUAAUUGGAUCCGGGUUUGGUCCCUGGAGAGCAAAGAGGACCCUGUGGGAGAGAGGGAAGAAAGGAAGGAGGGGGAAGGACGCGAGGGCGGAGGGAUCCGCGUGCGGAGCCCACUGGAAUUCUAUUCCCUCUUCCUGGAGGCGGGGCGCUGCCCUCUUGAUUGCUGCCUUUACCUGUGGGCUCCCUACGUUGGCAGGAUUGUGGUGGAGACAACUGUGGAAAUAAGCCUAAGACAGUAUAAUCACAUUUACUUCUGAAGAUGCAUGACUCCUUUGGGCCACUUUCCACAUUGACCAACCUGCAAGUAUUGUUCACUGGCCCAGAGCAUUGCAUUCCCUUCACAGCAAACACAAGUUCUUUAUACCACUUGGUUCUGUCUGCGGGGGAAAUAUAGGAAUAUAUUGAAUCCAGUUUCUAGCAUCACCUGUGUUACCAAAAAUCAAAAUAUGUAAAAUCUUGAUGAAAUGUUUAAAUAUAUUUUUAAAUAUUUGAAACAUGAGUUGUCACUGUUUGCCUUUUUUAAAUGAGGAAAGGUUGGAGAAUUACAAAUGUAGAAAUGUUAAGUGGAAAAACAUACAAUUUGGUUAAAUAAAAUAGAUUCCAGAUUCAUCUGUGGAUUUUUUUCCCCUUCCUUUCUUUCCAUGGCACUUUUGGUAUUGAGCAAUUUGCUUCCUUUUUGAGAUAUUUUAAAGAAAAAGAAAAGCAAAUGAAGCCCUACUACCUCACCCAUUUUUAUUUGUAUUUGUUUUAAUAUUGUGAAGUUGUGUUAAAAUAGUGCUAGUUUUCUACUUGAGAAAUACCAAUUUCUGGUUAUUGUUUCUUUUCCCUGUGGCUUUCAACAUUUUAAUUGUCUUAAACUCUUUGGCAUACAUUUUCCUGGCCCCCUGAGGGCUGCCAGAGGCGAAAGGUGUUUGUUUUCUAUUCAUUCCACUUGCAUCACCUACCUGGAUCCCAUCUGCAGCUUGAGUGUGGCUGGAAAAUGGAUUUGAGAAGAUUGGCUUGAAUUAGAUCAUAAUCGUGUGAUUAUUCAUCAUGCACUCAUUGGAAUUUGUGUUGCAUUUAAGGCAGUCUUUCCUGUUGUAAAUCUUCCUUUUUUAUGUACAUAUAUUUUGAAAAAUAUGAAUAAACAUGAAGUUUUAAAAGAAAAAUGUUAAAGAUAUAUUUAAAAAU